rnacentral:rRNA from 1 species
CCUACGGGAGGCAGCAGUGAGGAAUAUUGGUCAAUGGGCGCGAGCCUGAACCAGCCCAGUAGCGUGAAGGAUGACUGCCCUACGGGUUGUAAACUUCUUUUAUAAAGGCAUAGAGUGAGGCACGUGUGCCUUUUUGUAUGUACUUUAUGUAUAAGGAUCGGCUAAAUCCGGGCCAGAAGCCGCGGUAAUACGGAGGAUCCGAUCGUUAUCCGGAUUUAUUGGGUUUAAAGGGAGCGUAGAUGGGUUGUUAAGUCAGUUGUGAAAGUUUUCGGCUCAACCGUAAAAUUGCAAUUGAUACUGGCAGCCUGGAGUACAGUUGAGGGAGGCGGAAUUCGUGGGGUAGCGGUGAAAUGCUUAGAUAUCACGAAGAACUCCGAUUGCGAAGGCAGCCUACUAAACUGCCACUGACAUUGAUGCGCGAAAGUGUGGGGAUCAAACAGGAUUAGAUACCCCUGUAGUC